ensembl:lncRNA
GGAGCACACCAUUUUCUUUGCGAUCAUCAACACUAACAUUGUUCUUUAUAACAUGGACGUCGUAAACGUUAAGUAAAACAAAACCUAUUAUUGUAUUUUUAAAUAUCCUAUAAUAUGUUAACAUAACACCUUUAAACUAUUUGUUUUACUAAAACAAAAGCUUAAUUUUUAGGAGUUCGGGAGAACAGCACAACACCCUUUUUAGACACGGGCGCUUUUACAGCUGGAACGAGUUCUCUAACAGGCACAAGGUGUGUACAGAGUUAUGGGAUUUUUAAACGUGUGUAUGUUUUAAACGCACAAUUGUUUUAAAUUAUGUAAUAACAGCGUUUUCUUUGAUUUGUUCCAGGCUUAGCAAACUAUGCAGGUAAACAUUCAGACACCGUGACCACAGAGCCCAACCUUACAACAGGUGUGUAUACAACAGGGUGUAUAGUUGUGUAUUUAAAAAAAAAAAAAAAGAAAAAAAAAGGGGUUUAAACAAUUACAAAUGUUCUAAGACCGACCGUUUUACACAUACAGAGCUACGCCAGAGAACCGUGUGUGGAGAAGCAGGACCAUCCGGAAUAACGCACACUACAAGACAGCAGAACAGUACCCCUCCUCAUGAUGAUCAGGACGCCGAACGAUCCCUGACGUUUUUGGAAUGUUUAAGCAGUAUCGACCUCCCAGAACAACAAAAACCUGGAGCUUUGUGCAACAGUGGAGAGUCAGAACCGAUCAUCAUCACAGGACCUGCAACACCUCCGAACAUAUCGGAUCUGGAUAAUUAUGUUUUUCCGAGAUCACCAAGUUCUUCACCACCGGUUUUAGAGCGAGUUACAGGCAAGAACAUCCGUCUCUCGACCCGCGACAGAAACAAGUUGCUUUCUGCGCGUGCUCGCCCAGCUUCAUCCACCCCCGCCGGCGCUUCAGCUCCCCCGCGGCCCUCGGGGGAAAAACCUCCAUCUGACCGCCCGGGACAGGCAAGAACUGUUCGCCGCACAUGCUCCCAGUGUCCCCGCCGGCGCUUCUCCUCCUCCUCCUGCACCAAGACAUCCCCAGCCCCUGCCUCUGAGAUCUAAUCGAGGGCAUCUCAGAAGCAGGAACAGGAGGAUCAUUACGAGGAGAACAAGGCAAACACGUAGACCACGAGACCGGCUUGCUUCCAUCGCUCUCCGGGCAGUAUUGUUGUUCGCUGAAUUAGUUGAGCUCAUCUUAUAAGGUUUUUUGUUUUUAAUAUAUUCUUUGUUAAACAAUUAAAAAAAAAAGAAAAAAAAAAAAAAAAAAAAAAAAAAAAAAAAAAAAAAAAAGGGACAACCAGGAACAAGAUAUUCCAGACCCAUUUCUUGCUUUAGAAAUAGUUAGCCCGGUUAAAUGAAAACACCCAUCAUUCACACAAUACACCUCCGCAAAAUCAUGAACAACCUGAUGUGAUCAAUAAUAAUAAUAAUAAUAAUAAUAAUAAUAAUAAUAAUAAUAAUAAUAAUAAUAAUAAUAAUCCAUUAGAAUUGAUUGAUUUAGCUCUUGCACAACUAGCCCAUAGUGAAAGUGCCCCGCAGAAUUUAGGAGUUGAGCAUGUUGAGGCUCAUUCUCAACAAAACAUUUCCUCGUCUGACCCUUUCGCAGCUCUUAAUCGCGCAUUAGAAUCAUUAGCGCAAAUACAGCAUGAGGUUCAAAUACCUCCAGAGUUAUUGAGCCAAAUAAACAGGUUGAACGAAAAUAAUUUUAAUGAUAGCCAGCAUUCGAUCUGCUCUCCCCCAGGCGGUCACUCUGUUAACCACACUCCACCCCCACCGUUGUUAAGCGGUUUCAACGAUAGUCCGCAUUUGCUCAGUUCUCCCCCAGCAAACAAUGGUGGGUCUGUGCUAGACAGCCCCAACAACAGCAAUAGUUACACCCUUUCACACAAACUCUGUAAUGUUGGGGUCUACCCUGUGAAGUUGUGUUCAAUCUGAAAAAGGGGAAAUCUCAAAGUGAGACAGAUGUGUGCCAACUCUGCGUGAGCUGAUUGUUCAGAGUGAGCGAUAAAAACAGUUUAAAAUUGAGAUAGCUCUACCCUUUAUUGGGCAAAAAGUGUCCUCAUUAGUAGAGGCAAGACCACAAAUAAUGAAAUAAAAGAACGGACUUCAGAUACAUUUUUAGUCUCAGUUAGUCCUUCCCCUGGCUUUGUUAGUUACGCAGAUGGUAGUUCUUAAAAUAGUAAAUGAACAAGAACCGCAGUGUCACUGGGAGGUGUGCAUCAUCUGUGAUCCAGGUCGCAUGUGGGGUGAUUAGGAACCAGUGACACCAGCGAGUUGAGGCCUUCUGAUACUCCUUAGAUUUGCCACAUUCUCAACUGCCACCUCAAUAUGCAGGUGGAGAGUCUGGCUUAUGAGCUACUAAAUUUUAAAGUCAG